GGGGCAUAGUUCAACAAACCCAUGGGAGAACUCUCAACUUGUACCCACAGCCUAAACAUGACUGGUGUGCACUUUUAUUCAACUGGUCUCAAGUCAGUGUACAGGAACUUUUACAUGGCAGCAGACUCACAAAAUCAUUGAUCAACUGUGGGAAGGAUUGUAAGGUGAAAGCCCUAGAAGUCAUGAAUAG